UUCAGCUCAACUCUGUUCUUUCUUCUCUUCAUUUAUUUCACUUUCCCUCAAUCCAAACACUAAACCUCUCUUUCUUCUCCUUCUACUUUUCCUUCCACACAAUCUUCACAAAUAAAACAAAAUUGAGAGGUGAAGUAAAAUAAACAUGGCGGACAUACAGCAAGCAGACGGAGUGGAAGGGCCAUUGCCGGUAGCUUCAUCUGAGACGGUUGGAUCGAAACGCCAGAGACGUCCAAGCGUUCGGUUAGGCGACAUCGGCGGUGAGCAACCUUACGAUUCUCAUGUAAGAAGACCCUCCUCUUCUUCCAAGCAAUGGAAACACCACUCCAACAACCUUUCCUUAAAUCCCUCACUCGCCUCUCCCAAUUUUAAAUCUUCCAAAACUCGCGCCCUUACCAACCUCACUACUGAUUUCAACGCCACCAACGACACCCUCGAUGACCAUACUGAAGCUCAGAACAAUUUAGAUGGCGUUUCAAUUGGUAGCUGGGGAGUCAAAGAUUCCACGAAACGAGGCCCCGCCACGAAACGGCCUCGGUCCAAUUGGGUUCCCAAAAUCGAUGAUGCCAAUGGCAACAAUAACAACAGUCAUGUGGAAACAGAGGACAAAUACAGUGGCAGCAAAGAUAACGAAAAUUUCGACAUGGAGAACUCGGAAAGUCCCAUGAAAGAGCAGAGUCCAAUUCAUUCAUUGGAUAAUUUGGGUAUCGACGGCAACGAAAGGGAAGUUCUUUACCCUGGAAAUAACCAAAGAUGUCCGAUUCGGACCCGGGUUUUCGAUGGGGUCGAUUUAUCUGCUCCGUCUUGUGAGGAAGAUGGGGUUAGUAUAUGGUUGAAUAGUUUGGGUUUAGGAAGAUAUGCCCCGGUUUUUGAGAUCCAUGAAGUGGAUGAUGAAGUUUUGCCAUUGUUGACAUUGGAAGAUUUGAAGGAUAUGGGAAUAAAUGCAGUUGGUUCAAGAAGGAAACUGUUCUGCGCAAUCCAGAAACUCAGUAAAGGCUUUUCAUGACAUUUAUCACCCAUUGCAAUUGCAUUGUUCUUAUAUGGUGCUUUUGUUAAGUGAUAGUAUGGACAAGACUGGAGUCAUUUCAGGCUUCAGCAUUUCAUAUACUACUUGACAUAUUGUUUGCAGUUCUUAGAGUCCGAUACAUUACUUAAGGUAUUACUGAAAAGAAUCCUUGGGGUGAGAAGAAACGUAGAAACUCUUUAAGGAAAACCCAAUUUUGUUUUCUGAAAUGUCUUUCCUGUUAGAUUCUUGUUUGAUUUGUGUGAAUGGACUUAUCCACUUCCUGUCAAGUGUAAACCAGUCAGGUUUACUUGACCUUCAUUCAAAGGCAAAGCCAGUUUUGGUGCCUGUUUUAGGAGCUUACGCAUGAUGCAUGAAUGGUUUUUCAAUUAUAUUGCUUUUAUGA